rnacentral:lncRNA from 1 species
UAAGACUUGCUUUUGGAGGGGUGGGGGAUGGGAGAACGGAUACAUAUUAAAAUUGAGAAAAGGCCUGCCCAAGACUGGGAAAAGGCAGUUGUUCUCAUACUGCUAGCAACGUUUACCAAGGGGGAAAUUUCUGUUUGUCCUCUGGGCCCACGGGAGGGAAGGAGUAGAAGGAAGUAACUCGGAUUGUCCCAUAGUUGAAGGAAGCAGAGGCCUCAGCUGCUUGCUAAAAGUUCAACUUUAAAAAAACAAAAAAGUAGCUCAGGCACAUGGCAAGUUGUGGACCACAACUGAGAAUUUAGUUUGAGAAUUCUGGUAUUUCUCCUCGGAAACCAACCACCCUGUCCCCCUGACCUGUUCAAUGAUACCCCCUGAUUUGUUCUGGAUGUAUUUCCUCACAAAACUUCUAAUACAUGGUAUCAUUAUUAUUUUUUUUUUUUAACAACUAGAAUGCAUUUAGGUAUUAUUACAUAGUGAAAACUAUUUUUUUCAGACUAUGUAUUCUCGACAGACAUGGCAAAAGACUCUAGUUUUCUUUAAAUAUCCCUUUUUUCAAAACAACCCUCAGAAGUUAGAUUAAACACUGAGUUUGUCUCUCUGACCUUUACUUGUCUUUAAAAAAAAAUUUAAACUGCUUUUUUGGAAUGUCCCUCGCAACAUGAUAAAUCAUAACUUAAUCAACUUCCCCAGAGGCUUUCAGAACAAGAGAAAAAAAGUUCAGCUAAGAUCAAUUGCUCUGGGAAUUCAUCCUAAAAGAUAUAUCCAUACCUCUGUGGUCUGGGAGGGACACAGUUCAUUGAGAAGAGCCCUUGCUGAGGGGGAAUGGAGACUAGGAAGCUAGAACUGGAAGAGGCACCUCACACAUGAUUUCACCCCUAAGAAAAAUGUGUUUUUUUUUUUUUUUUAAUUUUGUUUUGCUUCGAGUUUUUCCACUUUUCAACCAGACUGUAUUCAGAUUUUACUCGAAAAAUUAAAAAUACAAAAAAAACACCCCAAGUUUCCCCAACUUAUCUACUGCCUGCUGGGCUCACCUGCCAGGUCCAAAGAGCAAGAAGCAGGGAGAGGGGUGAGCU